rnacentral:rRNA from 1 species
UACGUAGGGGGCAAGCGUUGUCCGGAAUUAUUGGGCGUAAAGAGCGUGUAGGCGGUCCGGUAAGUCGGCUGUGAAAGUCCAGGGCUCAACCCUGGGAUGCCGGUCGAUACUGCCGGACUAGAGUUCGGAAGAGGCGAGUGGAAUUCCCGGUGUAGCGGUGAAAUGCGUAGAUAUCGUAAGGAAGACCAGUGGCGAAGGCGGGUCUCUGGACAGUUCCUGACGCUGAGGCACGAAGGUCAGGGGAGCAAACGGG